rnacentral:tRNA from 2 species
AGCUCAGCCGGUUAGAGCAACAAGCCAAAAUGUGGGUUCGAAUCCCACCCGAG